GGAGGGCUGGCCGAGUGGUCGAAGGCGGUUGACUUGAAAUCAAUUGUGGGGCGACCCACCGCGGGUUCGAAUCCUGCGCCCUCCGCCA
rnacentral:tRNA from 1 species